CAGGAAACUAGAUUUGAGUGUCGGUGACCGAGGCUUUGGGGCGUCAACUUUCCUUCAGACCAAUGGGAGCUCACGGUGAAACUUUGUAAACAACUCUUCCACGCUGCUUUUAACACCACUUUUCUUUAAGAUCCGAGGAAGGAAGCGRCGGUGUUCCCUCAGACCGACUGACACGAGCCUCAUCAGAAAAAAACAGACAUUAAAAAAGAGGAAUCGUGCAAAACAAAGCAGAAGCAAGAACCUGUUGGAUGAUGGGUCGAGCUGGAACACCUGAAUGAGACGUAAACAUGAGUUAAAUCACCAUUCAAGCUGUGAGCAAGUUUUUACUGAAUGGGAUUCUGGCAGUGGAGACAAGUUUGCCUCAGAGGCCUGGGGGAGUCGCAGGGGAGUCAGGAUGACCGGAUGCGCCCUGAUCAGACAGACACAGACAUGAGGACAGGAGGAUGCUGCCGCUACUGUGGACCUUGGGCUUGGGUUUUCUUCCCAUCCGGACCUGCAGGGAGGGUGACAUCAUCCCUGUGUUGUUGGGGCCGCAGGAAGGUGGAGGCGUGGAGGCCAGURGAGGGUAUGUGUGACGGCAUGUGGACACGAAAGGAAGCACAAGCGUUGAUCAGAAGGAACUUAUCUUUGACCGUGUCCAUGAAGGCCUGCAGGAAAUGUUGCUUUGCCAAACAGGAAGUACUUUUUUUUUUCUAAUUGCAAUAAAAGCAUGAACAGGAUUUUCUCUCCCUGUAGAGAAAACCAAAUUAGAGUUAGCAGGUGCAUGUUCCUCACACUGGAUAAGCCACAUGUGAGGAAGUUUUAGGCCAGGCCGUACAGCGGGUUCUGUGGAGCUGAUGGUAGCGUCACUGUGCUCUUCAGUGUCGCUUAUCUCCUGUAGAAGACAACCAUUUCCUCCCACUUUCUCUGGGGGAAGAAAAGCAAUGACGUCAAAUACUGUAGCUAAAAAGACCAGAAGAAAGAUGAGAGGAUCUCAAUACUGUUAAUUUUUUCUCCCCACCGCUUUUGUUUUUUGUUUUUUUGUUGAGGAGCUUCCAGCGAGUGGCAGCUGUGCUCUGCUGCUGUACACGACUUCAGUGAAAACAUCGCUGCCCUGCGUCUAUUCACCCCAUAGAAAUGCCAGCUCUGGUCAUCAAUUCUGAGCCUUGUGCUGUCACUGUGGGCCUCUGCACACAGCAGCUGGCUGCAGGAAGACAAGCGCUCUUCCACAAUCUGUCCAAAGAUCAGCUGCAUCCAGCUGUCCAGCACCAAUCCCACCAUUCAGAGCGCCGCCUCUGCUGCUGCCUCUGCUGAGGAAGACCUCUCUGUUGUCACUGGUCUCUGCUGACUGUCCCCUUCACCACACUUUCUUUUUCACUUCUUCCUUCCUACAUUUUCAGCUGCACAGCCACAUCCGCCCCUUGAGCUGCAAAGAAGGCCCCAUAUGUCCGCCUGGGCUUGCUUUCAGUCUGUCUCUUACUUUCUUCCCAAGUCAAAUUGUCCAUCUGUCUCUCCAUUUACCAACUUUUUGUCCACUAUUUUUCCAUUGCUCUCUCUCCCCCAGCCAUUCUCCUCCUGUCCUCCAUGCUGUGCUUCUUAGAUUAACUUUCGCUCUUUUUCUGCAAUUGUCCCCUUUCUUUCUGUCCGCUUCAUCCUCGUCCCCUCCGUCUCAUUUUGUGGUAACCAUUCCUCAUUUCCUUCUUUGUUGGUUGCCAUGUCUCAGUUUCUCCGCUCUUUUCUCUACAGUUCUGUUCUCCCUUUUUUUUGCCACUUACUCUUAUUUCCGCACAAUUUCCAUCUCAUUCUUUGUCACUCUGCUGCAAUCUAAACUAUGCCCACCCCCCUCCAACCCCGCCCAAAAUGUCACAAUACUGUAUCUUUUCUUCACCCUUUUCUUUAGAGUCUGUCCCCCUUUCUGCUGCAUUUUUUUCACAGGUGUCUGUAAGGCGGGGAUUUACAUUUUCUCAGGACAGGCAGCCCGUGGAGAGAGGCCUGCUGGCAGAUCAAAGGCCCCGGCUGUAAAACAAUCUGAAAGAGUCCGGCAUUAGCAUCCAUCAGGGUACCUUGAAAGCUCCCUGAUCAGCAGAGAGGGAAGCUGAGGGCCCCCCAAAGUGAAAGCCCAGACUGGAAAGGGGUGGAGGGAGGGUGGGUGGAGAGAAAGAGAAAGGAGGAAGGAAGGAAAAUUCCUAUAAUGACUUACAAAUGUUAUUUCUCUAUUUGUUUCAUCAUCAGUCUCACACAUGAACUUUUGCGCUCUGGUGUUAUAUCACCUUUAUUGUUUUAUCCUGAURUGAUCCAUGCUUGUUCCUGCUAAGUGCACUUAUUACAAGUUUGAUUUCAGAAGUAAAGUGCAAAAUGUAAAGAAAACAGAAGAAAGACUUAAAUUAAAAGAAAAGUAAGUCUGUAUCCUUCUCACUGAUCUUUGUAAGAGAAUUCCCCCCAAGAAAUCAGAUUUAUAAACACUAAAACAUCUACACUGAACUCUUUUUUUUUUUUUCAGGAAAACAUUCCAGCAUGUUUCACACAAAUCUAUGUCAAGUUUAUUGUUUUCAUAUUUGCAUUCAGAUUAAUGUUACCACUUACCUCUUUCCA